UACGUAGGGGGCAAGCGUUGUCCGGAAUCAUUGGGCGUAAAGCGCGUGUAGGCGGUCCGGUAAGUCGGCUGUGAAGGUCCAGGGCUCAACCCUGGGAUGCCGGUCGAUACUGCCGGACUAGAGUUCGGAAGAGGCGAGUGGAAUUCCCGGUGUAGCGGUGAAAUGCGCAGAUAUCGGGAGGAACACCAAUGGCGAAGGCAGCUCGCUGGGACGUUACUGACGCUGAGACGCGAAAGCGUGGGGAGCAAACAGGAUUAGAUACCCUAGUAGU
rnacentral:rRNA from 1 species